UACGUAGGGGACCGAGCGUUGUCCGGAUUCAUUGGGCGUAAAGAGCUCGUAGGCGGCCACUCAAGUCGAAUGUGAAACCUCGAGGCUUAACCUCGAGCCUGCAUUCGAUACUGGGCGGCUAGAGUCUGGUAGGGGGGAUCUGGAAAUUCCUGGUGUAGCGGUGGAAAUGCGCAGAUAUCAGGAGGAACACCAACGGCGAAGGCAGCUCGCUGGGACGGUACUGACACUGAGGCGCGAAAGCGUGGGGAGCGAACAGG
rnacentral:rRNA from 1 species